UACGUAGGGGGCAAGCGUUGUCCGGAUUUAUUGGGCGAAAGCGCUCGCAGGUGGUUCGUCGCGUCGUGCGUGAAAGACCCCGGCUCAACUGGGGAGUGUCGUGCGAUACGGGCGGACUGGAGGCCAGUAGGGGGAUGCGGAAUUCCGGGUGUAGUGGUGGAAUGCGUAGAGAGUCCGGAGGAACACCAGUGGCGAAGGCGACACGCUGGGCCGUACCGUGACAUCUAAAACGCGCAGCAUGGGAGCGAACGG
rnacentral:rRNA from 1 species